rnacentral:rRNA from 1 species
AUUGAACGCUGGCGGCAUGCCUUACACAUGCAAGUCGAACGGCAGCGGACCUUCGGGUGCCGGCGAGUGGCGAACGGGUGAGUAAUAUAUCGGAACGUACCUUUCAGUGGGGGAUAACGUAGCGAAAGUUACGCUAAUACCGCAUAUUCUGUGAGCAGGAAAGCAGGGGAUCGCAAGACCUUGCGCUGAUUGAGCGGCCGAUAUCAGAUUAGCUAGUUGGUGAGGUAAAGGCUCACCAAGGCGACGAUCUGUAGCGGGUCUGAGAGGAUGAUCCGCCACACUGGGACUGAGACACGGCCCAGACUCCUACGGGAGGCAGCAGUGGGGAAUUUUGGACAAUGGGCGCAAGCCUGAUCCAGCCAUGCCGCGUGCGGGACGAAGGCC